UCCUCGUUAGCUCAGUUGGUAGAGCGCGACACUAGUACGACGCCGCCGCUUGGCAGCGGAAACAUGUCGAGGUCACUUGUUCGAGUCAGGUACGAGGAA